rnacentral:misc_RNA from 1 species
GUCAUCUACACCCUCAAGCUCUGCUUGGUGUUGGGCGUCUGUCCCGCCUCCGCGCGUGGACUCGCCCCAAAUUCAUUGGCAGCGGUCCUUGCCUCCUCUCGCGCAGCACAUUGCGCUUCUUGAGGGGCUCCGGUUCGCGUCCAACAAGCACAUUUACCGUCUUUGACCUCGGAUCAGGUAGGGAUACCCGCUGAACUUAA